CACGUAGGGGGGCGAGCGUUGUCCGGAUUUAUGGCGUAAAGAGCUCGUAGGCGGCUCGGUAAGUGAGGUGUGGAAAACUCCAGGCUCAACCUGGAGAACGCCACCUCAUACUGCCGUGGCUAGAGUCCGGUAGGGGAGGCAUGGAAUUCCUGGUGUAGCGGUGAAAUGCGCAGAUAUCAGGAGGAACACCAGUGGCGGAAGGCGGUGCCUCUGGGCCGGAACUGACGCUGAGGAGCGAAGCGUGGGUAGCAAACAGG
rnacentral:rRNA from 1 species